rnacentral:tRNA from 1 species
UCGGAAGUAGCUCAGAUUGGUUUAGAGCGGCACGAUGGUUACGCAGGUUCGAAUCCUGCUCCGAC